UACGUAGGGGCGAGCGUUAUCCGGAAUUAUUGGGCGUAAAGCGCGCGCAGGCGGUUUCUUAAGUCUGAUGUGAAAGCCCACGGCUCAACCGUGGAGGGUCAUUGGAAACUGGGGAACUUGAGUGCAGAAGAGAAAAGCGGAAUUCCACGUGUAGCGGUGAAAUGCGUAGAGAUGUGGAGGAACACCAGUGGCGAAGGCGGCUUUUUGGUCUGUAACUGACGCUGAGGCGCGAAAGCGUGGGGAGCAAACAGG
rnacentral:rRNA from 1 species